AUUGAACGCUGGCGGCAGGCCUAACACAUGCAAGUCGAGCGGAGCGGCGGACGGGUGAGUAAUGCCUAGGAAUCUGCCUGGUAGUGGGGGAUAACGUCCGGAAACGGGCGCUAAUACCGCAUACUAUCAGAUGAGCCUAGGUCGGAUUAGCUAGUUGGUGGGGUAAAGGCCUACCAAGGCGACGAUCCCUAGCUGGUCUGAGAGGAUGACCAGCCACACGUGAACUGAGACACGGUCCAGACUCCUACGGGAGGCAGCAGUGGGGAAUAUUGCACAAUGGGCGAAAGCCUGACGCAGCCAUGCCGCGUGAAUGAUGAAGGUCUUAGGAUUGUAAAAUUCUUUCACCGGGGACGCGGUACCCGGAGAAGAAGCCCCGGCUAACUCCGUGCCAGCAGCCGCGGUAAUAC
rnacentral:rRNA from 1 species